GGGAAAAAAAAAAAGAAGAAAAGGUCAAUUACAAAGUGAUGCUUUUAUAAUUAACUGAAGCUCAGGUGGGUUUCUCAUUUGUUUGUGGGCUUCUAUUCCCUGAAGCCAAAUUAUCAGAUCUGCAAGUGGUAGAAAGCAGCCACCAUGGAAAGAGACGGAGCAGCUGAGAAGAGCUCAGCCGAGCCCUUGGGAGGUGUGUCCGCAGAGAAAGGAGUAGGGCCCAGUCCUCCUGACCAAGGGGUGUAGGUUGGGACACUCAGCUGGGCUGAACACCCACCAGCUUCGUUUCUAUAGUUUCUUGCCCGGCAGCGUCUGUGGAGGUGAUGCUGUAAAUACUCCGAGUUGGAUUUUCUCCCUUUGUGGCACUUGCAUUUUAAUGGAAUACUCAUUUUCCUCCCUUUUUUUCCGGGAGGCAGCCGGUGUUGUACUACAUGCCUCCAUAAGAGAGUGAAUAACAUGCCAUCAGCUUUACAACAUGACAUUAGUAUAUGCACAAAACCUUCUAGGGAGCAGUGUGUUAAACCAAAAUUGCAUUG